UACGUUCAUCCUUAACAGGACGGAAGUAGGCACAUAAUGCCGAAGGAACGCAUU
ncrna:unclassified sequences Glutamine riboswitch